rnacentral:lncRNA from 1 species
CUACAAUUUUCCACCUCUAAGGUUGGCAGUUCUAUGGUUUGGGGGCUGCUCAAUGCUUCUAAGAUCUCAUCUAACAGAUUUGUUUGCAUGACAAUGGGAAGGAUUCUAAGGUUCAACUUCAUUCUCCGCUCUGGAUCUAAUGUGGAUGGAUGGGGCCAGCAAUGCUAGUAAUUAUUGGCUGGGACCUUCUCUCUGUAUUAACCAGAGCUCCUUAUAUCAUUCUAGCUAGCAGCUCAGAGCCUACCUUGAGGAUGGCGGCAUUAAUCUGUCUGCUUAGGGACAUCUAGACAUUCUGCUAAUCGUUCUUGCUACCACUAUGGAUAUCCCUGAUAGUGCAGAAUCUUCUGCCUGUGGUUCUGUAAAUGGGCCAAGUUAAUUCUUCUGUUAGAGCCUUUGGAAAAUUCAAGACAGGUACCAGUGACUAAUAAAGUGACUAAUAAAGGCUAUAUUAAAUGCCCUUUCUCUUUCUUUUUUGUGGUUGAUGCAACAACAAGAUUGUCUAGUCUUGUUAGCCAUAAUUUUAUAAGUUGUUGGCUUUGGUGAUAUAUUUCUGCUUUAUCAUUUUAGGUGUCACAUCUUGAGGACAGAUGUCUUGUGUAAGACAUGGGCUGAUUUUCACUCGACAAAAAUUGGCCCUUGUGUUAGAGGGAGAAUAGAGGAAACCACUCUAUUAUUAGACUUUGAAAUGAAUGUUUAUGGCCCUAUAAAGUGACUAGCUAGUCUGCUGUCUGCCAUGAUUGAAGAGAGAUCUAAAGCUAGGUCUAAUUAAGAAAUAUCUAUUAUCUGAUUGCUGUUGUGUUUAAUAAGCUAUUUAAAACAGAGAAAUUAUUUUGUGGAAUUUAAAAAAGUGAGUUGAUUGGAUGCAUCGGAUUUGGACUUCUAAAGGAUUUGCAGCAUUUUUUCCUAAAAAGGCAUUGUUCAGUGGGAAGUGACAGUGGGAUUAUUGCUCCUUGUUAAGUAAAUUCAGCAUGUGAUUUAUGUGCUUAUAUUUCCAUGCACAUUCAAGGAACCAAUUCUCCUUUGAAAUUUCCAAAAUAGUGAUGCCAAAAGAAAAAAAAAGAAGAAAGCGAGGAAGGAAAAUCAGAGUUUCAGAAGAAAGUAAGCUGUUUGGAUUAGAACUGAAACCACAUGGGGUCCAGAAAUCUUGUAAUAUUCUGCCCAUUAAAAGUUCUUCUGCAAAUAAAUGUGCACAUGCAAAAGUGGGGGUCGGAAAGCCAUCCAUUUGGAUUCAGCAGCAUGUCAGCCUAAUUAUACUAGACAAUGCUGAGCUCAGUAAUUCCACUUUUGAUCCAUUGCUGUGUGAAGUUCAUUAUUAUCUGUUUCGAAUUAUUGUUCAUUUCAAGAGCCGUACAAUGAAAAAGCAUGUCAAGACUGUGAAAGAGCCCUUGGCCUUCCCCGAAAGCUUUGUGAAACAUUUCUUUGGAAACAUUUCUGCUGAGAUGGUGCAUUGGCCGUGAG